GCGCACUCCCUGCGGCCCUCCCGCCAGGCGCCGCGCUGGGCAGCCAGCGCCCCGGCGGGGUCCUUCAGGCCUUCGGCCGGGCAGCCUCCCUCGGGGUCCUUGCGCGGUUGCCUAGCAGCUGCGAGGACGCGGGCCGAGCCGGAAGUGGAGUGCGCUGCGGCGCGAGCUGGGCCGGCGGGUGUGGUUCGAGAGCGCGCGGAGUCCAGACUGGCGGCAGGGCCCGAGGGGCCGACCCGCAGCGUCCCUGGUCUCUCCAGCCCUCACUCGGAACCGCACACAGUGACAAUACCCUCCCCUCCCUUGGGCUGGACCCCUCUCUACAGCUAGGAGCCAAUGGCAGAAGACAAAACCAAACCGAGUGAGUUGGACCAAGGGAAGUAUGAUGCUGAUGACAACGUGAAGAUCAUCUGCCUGGGAGACAGCGCAGUGGGCAAAUCCAAGUAUGUUGGGAGAUUAGGGAAUAAAUACCAGCCCCAGAGAGGGUCCGGGUCAUUUUAAAAGUCCUCCAGAGGCAGAGGAGCAUGGCUUCUUGGGGCUGGUGAAGGAGCAGUCUUGGCUGGAGCGCAGAUGUUCAUGGGGGAACGAGGGGAAUCACGUGAGCCGUUGUGUGUGUCGGGUGGAGGGGGCAGGUCAUAAGGACUGAGGAAUUUGAAUGUUUCCUCUGAGCCCUGAGAGAACGUGUGGAGCAACUGAGGACAUUGUGUGUGGUUUGUGGGCUGAGGGGUGGCAAGGGCGGGGAGUGGGAAUGGAAAGACAAAAGUGAUUAUGCCACCAUGACAGAUUGGGUAAAGGUGGUAAAGAUGCUUUCUUGGAGGGACUCUCUGAAAUAGAGAAAACUGGGUAGAACUGACGAUUGACUAUAAUCAUUGUGAAGACUGGCUUCUUCUUGUAAUGAAUUUCGGUGCCUACAUGCCACCCGGAGAGGUGAAGGGAGGCUCUGCCG
rnacentral:lncRNA from 1 species